CUGGGAUAAAAUACAAGUACGCAGAGGCUGGGACAAAGGACAAUCUGGAAUGAUAGGGACCUUAUCAGAAAUGGACAGAAGGAAAAUAAAGCCACACCUGCCAAAUGAAAACUCUGUCAGGGAGAACUGAGAAGAGCCACUGUCAACCAAGCACAUCAAGGCCACCGUUUUCAAUCUAAUGUUACUGGCAAUAACCUCUCAACAUUAUCCAUGGUUGGUAACUAAGAAAAGACCCCCAGACUUGAUUUUCCUUUUGGCAGACAGACAUGCACAUAAUUCUUAAAAUGUUGGUUGUUGCUAAAGCCCUAAAGUAGAAGUGUUUUCACCUUUCAAGUCAUUUUUUUUAGCCUCAGCGGUGUUAAGUACCAGCCUCUUCUCUUCCAGGUUCUCAUAAAGAUGGGUCCCCUUCAUCUUGACUCAAAGUCAGAGAGUUCAAAACUGUCCUUAGAAAGUCUCAUGACCUUAAAGAUCUAAUGCUUGGCUACUGCAGGAUGUUUGGCCAUGGUAGUGGAUGUCUUAUUUAAAUAACAAUAGACUUGGGCUCAGGUGUGCUUACUCCUGACCCUGAAGACCAGAUAAUAGAUGUGACUACAAAAUGCCUGCAGCAUUAAGGGAAGUAAGUCUGUUUGCUCCUUAUACAUGACAAAAGAAGUUUUCUGCCAUGCCCCCCCCCACCUGUUUUGGUUGGGGUACUUAAGAAUGUUGAAGAAUAAACAGUAUUCACUGGA